GGCAGUGGUGGCUGAACGGUUAAGGCUCUGGGUUCCUGAUCGGAAGGUCAGGAGUUCAAGCACCCGCACUGUCA